rnacentral:rRNA from 1 species
UACGUAGGGGGCGAGCGUUGUCCGGAUUUACUGGGCGUAAAGAGCGCGUAGGCGGAAAUUUAAGCGUGGCCUGAAAGCCCCCGGCUCAACCGGGGAGUGCGGCUGCGAACUGGAUUUCUUGAGGACGAUAGAGGAGAGUGGAAUUCCUGGUGUAGCGGUGAAAUGCGCAGAUAUCAGGAGGAACACCGGUGGCGAAGGCGGAUCUCUGGGCCGGUACUGACACUGAGGAGCGAAAGCGUGGGUAGCAAACAGG